AUGGAAGCGAUGGUGAGCGGCGGCACCGGGGAGUCGAUCCUGACGUCGAUGAAGUUUGCGGUGCUGCCGAUCGCCAAGGUGUUCACAUUGUGCUUCAUGGGCUUCCUCAUGGCCACCAGGUACAUCGGCAUCCUCGACGCCAACGGCCGCAAGCUUCUCAACGGGCUAGUGUUUUCCCUACUACUUCCGUGCCUUAUAUUCACUCAGCUUGGACGAGCAAUUACAGUGCAGAAACUGUUAGACUGGUGGUACAUCCCUUUAAAUAUUGUUCUGGGGACAGUGUCUGGUUCUCUAGUGGGCCUUCUUGUGGCGUUCAUUGUACAGCCGCCACGUCCAUAUUUCAAGUUCACCGUUGUCCACAUCGCCAUAGGUAACAAUGGAAACAUGCCUCUUGUCCUGAUCGCCGCUCUCUGUCGAGACCCAUCAAACCCGUUUGGCGACCCUGAGAAAUGCAAGCAGGACGGCAACGCAUACGUCUCCUUUGGGCAAUGGGUCGGGGCGAUCAUCUUGUACAGCUACGUGUUUCAGAUGCUUGCGCCGCCGCCUGGUGAAACCUUCGACGGAAGCAGAGUGGAGAAGCCCCCUCCCCCGGCCCUGGCUGCCGCACCUGCACCUGAACAAGUUCCCCUGCUAACGUCGCGUGCAUCUGAACAAGCUCCCAAGUGCUCAAAAGUAAGAUGUUUUUCUUUCUUCCGUAGUUCUGUCGUUACAAGUUCUUCCGAAGCACUGGAAAGCCUGCACAUCUUUGUUCGGAAAUUUAAGCUGAAGCGAGUGUUUGAACCACCGGUGAUUGCCUCGGCACUGGGGAUUUCCAUUGGAGCAACGCCAUCCCUGAAGCACUUGGUCCUGACUAACCACGCCCCGUUAUUCUUCUUUACCGAUGCCUGCAUCAUUCUUGGGGGGGCAAUGAUCCCAUGCAUCUUGCUCGCCCUCGGAGGCAAUCUCGUCGAUGGUCCGGGUGCGGGCAGCAAGAAGCUGGGACUGAGGACGACGGCGGCGAUCAUCAUCGGGCGGCUGGUGCUGGUCCCACCGGCGGGGAUGUGCAUGGUCGCCCUGGCGGACAGGCUGGGGUUCAUCCCGAGGGGCGACACCAUGUUCAAGUUCGUCCUCCUCCUGCAGCACUCCAUGCCCACCUCCGUGCUCUCCGGGGCCGUCGCUAAUCUGCGCGGUUGCGGGGAGGAGUCGGCGGCGGUGCUCUUCUGGAUGUACGUUUGCGCCGUCUUCUCCGUCGCCGGGUGGAUGGUGCUCUACAUCAGGAUGCUCUUCUGA
rnacentral:rRNA from 1 species